UCACUAACGCUGAGGAUGGAAGGAGGGAGGAGCAUGUCUCUCUCUCAUGCUCCUUUGCGGUUCCCACAAUUCCCAGCACAGGAUGUUCCUCCCUCCUUCCAUCCUCAGCGUUAGUGA
rnacentral:miRNA from 1 species